CAGCCGUAAACUAUGCGCGUUAGGUGUAUCGGUGACCACGAGUCACCGAGGUGCCGAAGGGAAACCGUGAAACGUGCCGCCUGGGAAGUACGGUCGCAAGGCUGAAACUUAAAGGAAUUGGCGGGGGAGCACCACAACAGGUGGAGCCUGCGGUUUAAUUGGAUUCAACGCCGGACAUCUCACCGGAUAAGACAGCUGAAUGAUUGUCAAUCUGAAGGUUUUACAUGACUAGCUGAGAGGAGGUGCAUGGCGUCAGUGACU
rnacentral:rRNA from 1 species